UUUCCGUAGGUGAACCUGAGGAAGGAUCAUUCAUAAUAAAGUGUUUUAUGGCACUUUUUAAAAAUCCAUAUCCACCUUGUGUGCAAUGUUAGAUCUCGUCAAUCUUGGCGAGAUUUUUAUACAUCAACUCAUUCUUUAACUAAUUUGUCUGAAAAAUAUUAUGAAUACUUAAUUCAAAAUACAACUUUCAACAACGGAUCUCUUGGCUCUC
rnacentral:misc_RNA from 1 species